rnacentral:rRNA from 1 species
AGCGAACGCUGGCGGCAGGCCUAAUACAUGCAAGUCGAGCGCACCUUCGGGUGAGCGGCGGACGGGUGAGUAACGCGUGGGAACGUGCCCUUUGGUUCGGAACAACACAGGGAAACUUGUGCUAAUACCGAAUGUGCCCUUCGGGGGAAAGAUUUAUCGCCAUUGGAGCGGCCCGCGUUGGAUUAGGUAGUUGGUGGGGUAAAGGCCCACCAAGCCGACGAUCCAUAGCUGGUCUGAGAGGGUGAUCAGCCACACUGGGACUGAGACACGGCCCAGACUCCUACGGGAGGCAGCAGUAGGGAAUCUUGCGCAAUGGGCGAAAGCCUGACGCAGCCAUGCCGCGUGAAUGAUGAAGGUCUUAGGAUUGUAAAAUUCUUUCACCGGGGAAGAUAAUGACGGUACCCGGAGAAGAAGCCCCGGCUAACUCCGUGCCAGCAGCCGCGGUAAUACGAAGGGGGCUAGCGUUGCUCGGAAUUACUGGGCGUAAAGGGCGCGUAGGCGGAUAGUUUAGUCAGAGGUGAAAGCCCAGGGCUCAACCUUGGAACUGCCUUUGAUACUGGCUAUCUUGAGUUCGGGAGAGGUGAGUGGAAUGCCGAGUGUAGAGGUGAAAUUCGUAGAUAUUCGGCGGAACACCAGUGGCGAAGGCGACUCACUGG